rnacentral:sRNA from 2 species
UAAAUGCGUGAGGGAUUGAAGUGGAGCUCUUUUUUAAGGCGAUUUUUCUUCGCCUUAAAAAAAGCGGGAACGUAAAGCCCGACCCGGA